rnacentral:lncRNA from 1 species
CAUAGAGCCCUCAUAGAGCCCCAUAGACCCCUAUAGACUCCCAUAGAGCCCCCAUAGACCCCAUAUCUCCCCCCCCCUUUCCCCCCCCCACUUGUAGGGCCGGGGAUGGGCGCCCCAUUGGCGGUGGUGGGACAUAGGGACCCAUAGGGACCCCAUAGAGCCCCAUAGAGACCCCAUAGAGCCCCAUAGAGUCCUCAUAGACCCCCAUAGAGUCCCCAUAGAGUCCCCAUAGACCCCCAUAGACCCCCAUAGACCCCCAUGGAGACCCCAUAGACCCUCAUAGACCCCCCAUAGGGACCCCAUGGAGCCCCAUGGAGCCCCCAUAGACCCCCAUAGACCCCCAUGGUGACCCCAUAGACCCUCAUAGAUCCCCAUAGGGACCCCAUAGAGCCUCAUGGAGCCCCCAUAGACCCCCAUAGACCCCCAUAGAGUCCCCAUAGAGCCCCAUAGAGCCCCUAUAGACCCUCACAGAGCCCCAUAGAGACCCCAUAGACCCCC